rnacentral:rRNA from 1 species
GACGAACGCUGGCGGCGUGCUUAACACAUGCAAGUCGAACGAUGACGACCGAGCUUGCUCGGUCUGAUUAGUGGCGAACGGGUGAGUAACACGUGAGCAACCUGCCCUUCACUCUGGGAUAACCUCGGGAAAUCGGGGCUAAUACCGGAUAUGAGCUCCUGUCGCAUGGCGGGUGUUGGAAAGUUUUUCGGUGAAGGAUGGGCUCGCGGCCUAUCAGUUUGUUGGUGGGGUAGUGGCUCACCAAGGCGAUGACGGGUAGCCGGCCUGAGAGGGCGACCGGCCACACUGGGACUGAGACACGGCCCAGACUCCUACGGGAGGCAGCAGUGGGGAAUAUUGCACAAUGGGCGAAAGCCUGAUGCAGCGACGCCGCGUGAGGGAUGACGGCCUUCGGGUUGUAAACCUCUUUCAGCAGGGAAGAAGCGAAAGUGACGGUACCUGCAGAAGAAGCGCCGGCCAACUACGUG